UAAAGAUUCAUCGCUGAUAGAUAGGCAUGCGUUCCAUUAGGCAGUUGGCGGGGUAACGGCCCACCAAACCGACGAUGGAUAGGGGUUCUGAGAGGAAGGUCCCCCACAUUGGUACUGAGACACGGACCAAACUCCUACGGGAGGCAGCAGUGAGGAAUAUUGGUCAAUGGGCGUAAGCCUGAACCAGCCAAGUCGCGUGAGGGAUGAAGGUUCUAUGGAUCGUAAACCUCUUUUAUAAGGGAAUAAAGUGCGGGACGUGUCCCGUUUUGUAUGUACCUUAUGAAUAAGGAUCGGCUAACUCCGUGCCAGCAGCCGCGGUAAUACGGAGGAUCCGAGCGUUAUCCGGAUUUAUUGGGUUUAAAGGGUGCGUAGGCGGCCUUUUAAGUCAGCGGUGAAAGUCUGUGGCUCAACCAUAGAAUUGCCGUUGAAACUGGGAGGCUUGAGUAUGUUUGAGGCAGGCGGAAUGCGUGGUGUAGCGGUGAAAUGCUUAGAUAUCGCGCAGAACCCCGAUUGCGAAGGCAGCCUGCCAAGCCAUGACUGACGCUGAUGCACGAAAGCGUGGGGAUCAAACAGGAUUAGAUACCCUGGUAGUCCACGCAGUAAACGAUGA
rnacentral:rRNA from 1 species